GUUUGGGAGGAGUUUACGAACUCCGAGUGGUGAAGGAUAGUGCCAAGAAAAGCUGGCUAUGUGAUGAAGAUAGAACACCCGUACCCGAAACCGACACAGGUAGGGAGGUUGAGAAUACCAAGGGGCGCGAGAUAACUCUCUCUAAGGAACUCGGCAAAAUGGCCCCGUAACUUCGGGAGAAGGGGUGCCCACCUCAGACGUGGGUCGCAGUGAAGAGAUCCAGGCGACUGUUUACCAAAAACACAGGUCUCCGCCAACUCGCAAGAGGACGUAUGGGGGCUGACGCCUGCCCAGUGCCGGAAGGUUAAGGAAGCUGGUCAGCGAAAGUAAAGCUGGCGACUGAAGCCCCGGUGAACGGCGGCCGUAACUAUAACGGUCCUAAGGUAGCGAAAUUCCUUGUCGGGUAAGUUCCGACCUGCACGAAUGGCGUAACGAUGGCCACACUGUCUCCUCCUGAGACUCAGCGAAGUUGAAAUGUUUGUGAAGAUGCAAUCUCCCCGCGGCAAGACGGAAAGACCCCAUGCACCUUUACUGUAGCUUUGCAUUGGACUGUGACGGGACUUGUGUAGGAUAGGUGGGAGGCUGUGAAGCCGGGUCGCUAGACUCGGUGGAGCCAACGUUGAAAUACCACCCUGGUGUCGUUGCGGUUCUAACCUAGGUCCAUGAUCUGGAUCGGGGACCGUGCAUGGUAGGCAGUUUGACUGGGGCGGUCUCCUCCCAAAGUGUAACGGAGGAGUUCGAAGGUACGCUAGCUACGGUCGGACAUCGUAGUGAUCGUGCAAUGGCACAAGCGUGCUUGACUGCGAGACUGACAAGUCGAGCAGGUGCGAAAGCAGGACAUAGUGAUCCGGUGGCUCUGUAUGGAAAGGCCAUCGCUCAACGGACAAAAGGUACGCUGGGGAUAACAGGCUGAUUCCUCCCAAGAGUUCAUAUCGACGGGGGAGUUUGGCACCUCGAUGUCGGCUCAUCACAUCCUGGGGCUGUAGCCGGUCCCAAGGGUAUGGCUGUUCGCCAUUUAAAGCGGUACGUGAGCUGGGUUUAAAACGUCGUGAGACAGUUUGGUCCCUAUCUGCCGUGGGCGCUGGAAGUUUGAGGGGACCUGCUCCUAGUACGAGAGGACCGGAGUGGACGUGCCUCUGGUGUACCGGUUAUGACGCCAGUCGUAUCGCCGGGUAGCUAAGCACGGAAGAGAUAACCGCUGAAAGCAUCUAAGCGGGAAACUCGCCUCAAGAUGAGACUUCCCGGAGACUCGAUCUCCCUGAAGGGUCGUCCAAGACCAGGACGUUGAUAGGCGCGGUGUGGAAGCGGGGUAACCCGUUAAGCUAACGCGUACUAAUUGCCCGUGCGGCUUGGU
rnacentral:rRNA from 1 species